rnacentral:rRNA from 1 species
AGUGAACGCUGGCGGUAGGCCUAACACAUGCAAGUCGAACGGCAGCACAGUAAGAGCUUGCUCUUACGGGUGGCGAGUGGCGGACGGGUGAGGAAUACAUCGGAAUCUACUUUUUCGUGGGGGAUAACGUAGGGAAACUUACGCUAAUACCGCAUACGACCUACGGGUGAAAGCAGGGGAUCUUCGGACCUUGCGCGAUUGAAUGAGCCGAUGUCGGAUUAGCUAGUUGGCGGGGUAAAGGCCCACCAAGGCGACGAUCCGUAGCUGGUCUGAGAGGAUGAGCCGCCCCACUGGAACUGAGACACGGUCCAGACUCCUACGGGAGGCAGCAGUGGGGAAUAUUGGACAAUGGGCGCAAGCCUGAUCCAGCCAUACCGCGUGGGUGAAGAAGGCCUUCGGGUUGUAAAGCCCUUUUGUUGGGAAAGAAAAGCAGCAGGUUAAUACCCCGCUGUUCUGACGGUACCCAAAGAAUAAGCACCGGCUAACUUCGUG